rnacentral:tRNA from 1 species
GGACUGGUUAGCUCAGUCGGUUGGAGUAUGGUGCUGAUAACACCAAGGUCGCGCGUUUGAUUCCUGUUUGGUCCC